UACGAAGGGGGCUAGCGUUGCUCGGAAUCACUGGGCGUAAAGGGUGCGUAGGCGGGUAUUUAAGUCAGGGGUGAAAUCCUGGAGCUCAACUCCAGAACUGCCUUUGAUACUGAGUAUCUUGAGUACGGGAGAGGUGAGUGGAACUGCGAGUGUAGAGGUGAAAUUCGUAGAUAUUCGCAAGAACACCAGUGGCGAAGGCGGCUCACUGGCCCGGUACUGACGCUGAGGCGCGAAAGCGUGGGGAGCAAACAGG
rnacentral:rRNA from 1 species